GUGGGGAAUCUUCCGCAAUGGACGAAAGUCUGACGGAGCAACGCCGCGUGAGUGAAGAAGGUUUUCGGAUCGUAAAGCUCUUUCGUUAGGGACGAACGUGCUCUUUGUGAAUAAUGAGGAGUAAUGACGGUACCUAAAUAAGAAGCCACGGCUAACUACGUGCCAGCAGCCGCGGUAAUACGUAGGUGGCAAGCGUUGUCCGGAAUUAUUGGGCGUAAAGCGCGCGCAGGCGGAUCUGCCAGUCUGUCUUAAAAGUGCGAGGCUCAACCUCGUGAGGGGACAGAAACUGGUAUUCUUGAGUGUCGGAGAGGAAAGUGGAAUUCCAAGUGUAGCGGUGAAAUGCGUAGAGAUUUGGAAGAACACCAGUGGCGAAGGCGACUUUCUGGACGAUGUCUGACGCUGAGGCGCGAAAGCUAGGGGAGCGAACGGGAUUAGAAACCCUAGUAGUCC
rnacentral:rRNA from 1 species